GGGGCGGCAGCUCAGUUGGCAGAGUAUUACGUUCGCAGUGUAGAGAUCCGGGGUUUGAAUUCCCCGUCGCUCCACCA
rnacentral:tRNA from 1 species